rnacentral:rRNA from 1 species
AUUGAACGCUGGCGGCAUGCCUUACACAUGCAAGUCGAACGGUAACGCGGGGCAACCUGGCGACGAGUGGCGAACGGGUGAGUAAUAUAUCGGAACGUGCCCAGUAGUGGGGGAUAGCCCGGCGAAAGCCGGAUUAAUACCGCAUACGACCUGAGGGUGAAAGCGGGGGACCGCAAGGCCUCGCGCUAUUGGAGCGGCCGAUAUCAGAUUAGGUAGUUGGUGGGGUAAAGGCCCACCAAGCCGACGAUCUGUAGCUGGUCUGAGAGGACGACCAGCCACACUGGGACUGAGACACGGCCCAGACUCCUACGGGAGGCAGCAGUGGGGAAUUUUGGACAAUGGGCGCAAGCCUGAUCCAGCCAUGCCGCGUGCGGGAAGAAGGCCUUCGGGUUGUAAACCGCUUUUGUCAGGGAAGAAAUCUUCUGGGCUAAUACCCCGGGAGGAUGACGGUACCUGAAGAAUAAGCACCGGCUAACUACGUGCCAGCAGCCGCAGUAACAC